rnacentral:lncRNA from 1 species
GUUUGCCUCCAAACCUUGAAGGGCAGUCAACACUUUCUCCUCAAAGGCUGUAUUUCUUUGGGUUGGAGGAGGAGGGUGCUGAAAUUGAGUUGAGGGACGGUAGAGAUGAAAAUUCUGAGGGUUUUGAAAAUUUUGGGAGUAGGGUUGGGCAGUAUUCUAAGCUUGCUGCCUCCAAGAAAAAUUUGGAUGAUUCCGCCAUCCCGGAUUAUAUGUAUUGGAAAAUGGAUCAUUACCCGGUCUGGGCUGUGUUUGGGCAGCAUUGAUGUGUUCUUGCACGAGUUCGGAGAAUUGGGGUGCUGAGGGGUACUCAUGAAUAGGAUGCGAUGGGCUAGAAUAGAUAGCACACACUUGUGCUUGAGAAGAGCUAAUGACAUGUCCCUCUAUCAUCAGUUGGUCAAUCUUAUGGGACAGUGCAUCUACCUUGCUAGACAGGUCCAUAGAAUGACUUAUUUCACAAAUGG